UACGUAGGGGGCAAGCGUUGUCCGGAUUUAUUGGGCGUAAAGAGCGUGUAGGCGGCCUGACAGGUCUGCUGUGAAAACUCGAGGCUCAACCUCGAGAUGUCGGCGGAAACCGUCUGGCUAGAGUCCGGAAGAGGAGAGUGGAAUUCCUGGUGUAGCGGUGAAAUGCGCAGAUAUCAGGAAGAACACCUAUGGCGAAGGCAGCUCGCUGGGACGGUACUGACGCUAAGGCGCGAAAGCGUGGGGAGCGAACAGG
rnacentral:rRNA from 1 species